rnacentral:tRNA from 1 species
GCCCCGAUAGCUCAGUGGUAGAGCGACUGGCUGUUAACCAGUAGGCCGUCGGUUCGAACCCGACUCGGGGCG